GAAUCACCGGUUCAUCGCGGCGGGUAUUGGGCUGGUAAACGUAGACCGUCCUGCUCAGCGAUAAUGUCCUGCACGCCUGGCGGAUGCUCAUGGCAAAUUGAGCUGUCAGGUAGCUGACGAGCUCCCGCUUUAUCGCUGGUUUU
rnacentral:sRNA from 1 species